GGCCAGGUGCCCGAGUGGUUUAGGGAGAGGUCUGCAAAACCUUUCACAGGGGUUCAAUUCCCCUCCUGGCCUCAA
rnacentral:tRNA from 1 species